GAGCGUUUGUGCUCUGCUGGCAGCCUGUGUGGGGUGACCGCCCCCGCUAGCGGGGUGUGGGUCGAGGUGCCCCGGACUGGGAGAGAAGGAGCCUCCCUCGGCCGUAGGGAUGGGGGCUGCCCUGUAAGUCAGGGAGCAUCUGUGUCCCGGAGUCCCAGGCCCUUUUCGAUGGCGGCAGUGGCCGGGGGUCCCCUGUAAGCAGGGAAGCUGACUCUUUGGCUGCCUGCUUUUUGUGUGCCCAGCCCCAUUUGCCCAGUCUGCCCGCCUCUGUGAUCCCCCGCAGCACUGGCUGGAAGUCCGCCGCGUGUCAGUGAGGAGCUGCUGCAGAAGAAAGAAGAAGCGGCGUGGGGACCUGGGCUGCAAA
rnacentral:lncRNA from 1 species